GGCACCUUCUUAUAAACCGAAGAAUCUGUUCCGUCGUGAACAUGGACAUCCCCUCCAAAUAUUCUCCAUUAACACCAUUUUCUUUGAAAAUUUGACGAUAGCCACCAAGAUUUAUUUCUUCCAACCAUAGACCAACAUCCUCAACAGUCCAAAUAAAGAAAUCCAGAGGCUCUGGUGGCCUUUCUUUGCUCAUAGAGUCAAACAGCAAUUCCCAACCCAAAAAAAAAGGGAGUAAAAAGAAGCUAAUCAACUAGCUGUUUUGUUUUUCUUUUCAACUGUGCAAAUUGGGAAUUUUUUUGGCUUUCUAUGUUUGUUGCAG
rnacentral:misc_RNA from 1 species